rnacentral:rRNA from 1 species
AAGGAAUAUUGGUCAAUGGACGAAAGUCUGAACCAGCCAUGCCGCGUGCAGGAUUAAGGCCCUAUGGGUCGUAAACUGCUUUUAUACGGGACAAAACCCCCCUACGUGUAGGGGGCUGAUGGUACUGUAAGAAUAAGGAUCGGCUAACUUCGUGCCAGCAGCCGCGGUAAUACGAAGGAUUCGAGCGUUAUCCGGAUUUAUUGGGUUUAAAGGGUGCGUAGGCGGACUGAUAAGUCAGUGGUGAAAGCCUGUUGCUUAACAACAGAACUGCCAUUGAUACUGCCAGUCUUGAGUACAGUUGAGGUAGGCGGAAUGUGUCAUGUAGUGGUGAAAUACUUAGAUAUGACACAGAACACCGAUUGCGAAGGCAGCUUGCUAAACUGUAACUGACGCUGAGGCACGAAAGCAUGGGGAGCAAAC